ensembl:lncRNA
CUUUAUUACGGAGAGCACCUGAUGGACCUGUCAUUAUUCACCAAUACAGACAAUAACACCACGUAUGAGAACAGGAAGGCCCCUUUAUUACGGAGAGAGUGAAAGAUGUACAACGUUGAAAUGGUUUUGACUAGAAGAGAGAAAUAAAGGUUGUGUUUGAUUAUGUCAUGUUAUUAUUCUAAUUUUAUUAUUAUUAAGUUUGUGAUUUUGUGUUUUCUGUCCCUGACAGUUCUGAUCAGAGACGCGUGAUUAAAGCCUUACCUCUGUAAAAGUUACACUGUUUAUUCCUCCGACCACGAAGAAGAAGAAGGCAUAACUAUCUUAUUCCUCCGACCACGAAGAAGAAGAAGGCAUAACUAUCUUAUUCCUCCGACCACACUAGUAAAGGGCCCAGUGAAAUGCCUUGGUGCUGUAACUGUUAACCAUAAUCAAGAGAACAGAAGGUUUCCUGCUCAGAGGAAUAUAUCUGAAGGAAAAAAGACUUAGAGAAACCAAACAGAAAACAAUCUCCCACUAUCACAAUACAUAUGUAGUUAUCCCAUAACACAGGCCAGCCAUAGGUGAUGCUUCAGUCCUCAACUACCCCAGGAUCCAAUAUGUUGUUGUCCCAUAACACAGGCCAGCCAUAGGUGAUGCUUCAGUCCUCAACUACCCCAGGAUUCAAUAUGUUGUUGUCCCAUAACACAGGCCAGCCAUAGGUGAUGCUUCAGUCCUCAACUACCCCAGGAUUCAAUAUAUUGACAGUCUCACAGACGUUUCCAGUUUCUACUGAGCCAAUAGCUUCGUUUGCUGCUGGUACCCAUCCCAAAUUCCAUCAGGGCUACAAAUGGGAAGAGAUUGAAGAAAUCCGCUGACAGAGCAGUGUGUGUGUGUGUGUGUGUGUGUGUGUGUGUGUGUUUCCUCAGCUAGUCUCAUGGUCUUCAUAUUACAGGUUCUGCAGCAAAAAGUUUAUAUGGUGCUGGUUCAAUAACAGUUGGUGGUUCUACCACUCUCCUCUCCUCUCCUCUCCUCUCCUCUCCUCUCUCCUCUCCUC